rnacentral:tRNA from 1 species
CAAGACGUAGCUAAAUCAAAGCACUCAGCUUACACCUGAAAGAUUACUCGCCCUCACCCGAGUCGUCUUGA